CGGAGAAGUGGCAAUUUAUCUGAAUGAACGCCGGAGCCGCGCGGCUCUGUCCAUAUAAGGCGAGCGACGUCACAGGAAUGUUCUGUAGUAGGGACGCCUCUUCGGCUCAGCGCCGCCCAGCCGAGGGUAGAGGAGAUUCCCUCCCCCCUCCCCCUCCAGGAAGCGGGAAGGCCGAGCCGAGGCUAUACUCAGGAAAGCGUUACUCAGGCUUCUUCGAGCAAAGGAAGUUGAAGAAUGUUUUAAAAAUUCUCCAGUCAUCAGAAAACCCUCCUCACACUCACUCACUUAUUUCCGUCGACUUACUAAUGAAGGAAAGGACGUGUGAUGGUGACGGAAGAAAGAGAAGUAGCAUAAGGUGUACCAGACAUUGUUGGUUUUAGUCUCUAGCUUUGCUGCUGUGCCAGCAUAAUGCCAGCUGGCAAGAAACACCAAACAAUUGCCAUCAAAGCUUUCAGACAGAUUCUUUUCUUAUUCUGUCUGGAAACAUUGUGGAUUGAGUGUGGACCUUCUAAUGAAAAAGCAUCUGCUACACUAGUUCUUCCCUAAGGAUUUGCAGAACCAGUAGUAAAAGUGGUGGGAGACUCCACCCACCCGCCUGGACAUCAUAAUUGACGAUCUGUGCAUGCGCAGAAGCUUCUGCGUGUUCCUGUUGCGAAGCGGUAGUAAAGUCUGACAACUGACGAGCACGGGGUAUUAUUUUCUUCAGUGAGCCAAUGACUGUAUGCUGCCCUCUGAUCCUUAGCCUCAGAUAAAGGAAAAACAGAAGUGAAAAAAAUAAACUAUAUCAUGCUUGGAAUGUACAUUCUCCACUGAAGAAGUUCCAGUGACUCAAAAAAAGAAAAGAAAAGAGGAAGAGAAACUGUCGGGGCCAUAACUUGUUUUUCCAGUUCUAGAAGCAAUGUAGGGGACAAAGACUCAUCACCUAUACAUGUGAAAACAAAAUAGGAAAGUAUCAAUCCUAUGGAUUUUUAAUCAACUCAAACAUUGUUUCUAAUUCAUGCUUUCGUAACAUCAUGAUUUAGGAACUGAAUGAUAGAAGAGUAACUAUUUUUCUGGGAAGAAAUAUUUAAAUAAAAUUUCCUGCAGCAGAGAAAGAACCAGUUUAGUGUAGUGGUUAAGGCAUCAAGCUAGAAUAUAGGAUACUGUAAGUUGAAGUCUUGCCUUAGGCACAAAGCCAGUUGAGUGACUUGUGCCAGUCACUCUCACUCAACUUGAGGAAGCAGGCAAUGGUAAACCAUUUUGAAAAAACCUUGCCCAGGAAACUGCAAAGACAGGCAGUCCAGGCAGUCACCAGCAGUCAAAAUUGACUCAAAGGCACACACACACACAUUACACACAUGGACAGCCCAGGGAUAGGGAAACUGCAGCUCUCCAGAUGUUUUUGGAAUCCAAUAGUCAACGUUAGAUACAUGAAUAGUAAUCAAAAUGAGAUUUUUAAUUUUUUAAUUAGCUUACUUAAUAGUUUGGGAAAUGCUAUAGAGAUACUAUAAUGUGACUUAACCACAUCAUAUGAAUAACUUAUUCAUAUAUCAUAUUCUGAUUAGCAAACUAGUGAAGGUGGAUUUAUAACUGAUUUAUAAGCCAUAUAAAUGAUUUCUCACCAAUGGUUCCUUAAAUUAGAACAGGUUGUCAAGUACAUUCUCAUAGGCUUUGGUCCUGAUUCUAGUACUCUAACAUUUUCCUGAAUAGUUUUAUUGAGAAGCUGAGUAGCCAGAAUUCUAACAAAAUAUGCUCAUGUCUUCAAACUGGAAGAUUUUCAAUGUUCUAGCAAAUGCUUAAGAACACAAAAACAAAUUUUAAAGAACUUGUUCAACCAGAGGCAAACUUAAAUAAAAUAAUGUAAUUUAAUAGAGGGAAUUACAAAAUCUCUCAUUAAGUAAAAUGAAAUUGCAAGCAUAGUUACAGGAUUAGGGAUAUUUGGUAAGGCUCUGCAGUAGUUCAGAAAUACUGUGGAAAAGGUGUUGUGCAAUCGCACCAAAAAAGGAAGACUUCACCCUCGCUUGUCAGUAUCUUUUUGAAAAACAAGGUAGCAGCUUUUUCUAACUUUCAGCUGCAAGCUCCAGACUCCAAUUUCAAAGACUAUUUUGACACUGGAAUUCAAUGAAGAGGGAGUGACCCAAAAAACCCCUUGAAUUAGGAAAUGCUUGUGAUUUUAAAGCCUUUGCUCGUUAGUUGAAGCAAUUACAAGUUUCUGUAGACACUAAAAAUGUUUGUCUCUUAACAAGAAUGUCUAAAAUAACAGUAAUUAACGUCUGGUGAGAACAGGUUAAAUUACUCUGAAUCUGCUGAGAGGCAACAUGUCAAAGAUUUUGAACUAUCGAAAGGGAAUAAAAAUAGGCAGGAUUAAUAGACUUGUCCAUGGAGUUUCUUACCCAGCAAUACUUUUUGAUGAAUAUACCUUAUAAUGCUGAAUCAGAUCAAUUUCUGGGAAAAAUUUAUGUUUUGUUUUCAUUAAAACCUGAAUACCAAUUUCAAA